AGUGUUGCAUCAAACACCUAUGGAAAAGCUACAAAUGAGGAUGUGAUGUAAGCCAUUGCCGAGGUGAAGGACGAGGUCAGCCGUGUCGACAUAAAGGUCAUGCACGCUCAGGAGAUUUUUAUGAAGGAAAUGAGUUUUUUUAGGAAGUGUGUUACAAAGUACUUUGGGAGAGAAGUUGUGGAGGAAGGAGUUGGAGAGAAGGAAGCUUCCAAUGAGAAGAAGGAAGUUUAUAAAGUGUCGCCUGUUCAACAGACUUUAUCUUUUAAAGGAGAGUCGUCUAAACCUGUUGAUUUGGAUAGUGAGAAUCGUGUGUUGUUUGGAGUGAAGGGGGUGUCGGGAGCUGUUAGGGAAGUUUUUGGUGAUCUUGGUGGAGAUAUAUUAGAUAGUGUACCAUCAUUUGAUGUUUCUGAUGAAAUAAUGGAGGAGGAAAAUAUGGAUGAGGGGAAAGUGGAAAAGGGUAUAGUGGCAGAGGAUGAUUUUUUUGAUGUUGUGAGUUUUUGGCAAAAAGAGAAACAAGCCAUAAUUAUUAAUGAAGAAAAAGUGGAAGAGAUGGAGGAGGUUGUGAAAGAUGAUUUUGAUUUGGAGUCUUUUGAGACGUUUAAGGAGUCAGGAGGAACUGUGGUUGGCCCAUUCACUAUGAAGAAUAGAAUGACCGAUUAGAUAGUCAGGUUUUUCCGCUUCAUAUUUUCAAGAAUCUUGGACCAGAGCUAUAUGUUAGUGAAGCUUGGGAAAGUUGAGGUGAGAAGAUAUGUGAUGGGGAGCUUGUGGCCAGAGGGCUAGGUCACUGGAAGUGUUAUUGAUUGUUAUGCAUAAAUCCUGAACUUUGAAGAAAGGAAGAAGGAAGGUCCAAGUCGAGUAUGGUUCAUGCCAACCCGUGUUUUGAAAGAGCAGAUAUGCGCCUCGAUGAGUGUGAAAAGGAUGGUGAGGGAACAAGAAUAGUUUAAGCAGUACUACGAUGAAGAUUUUAAGGCAUAGGACAAGGUGGCCACCAUUGGUUCCUAGCCCACAUCAAUAUACAAACUGUGACUGUAAAUUAACCGUGACUCUUUAUCAAGUGUGAUGCACAAGGCCUCUUGACGUCGGGUUUGCACUAAAAUGCUUAAGACUCUGGACCAAUUAUUUGCUCUGUCCAAACCCAAAAAUAUGAAAUUUGAGAAUUUCUGUAUUGCUACAAGGAAGGGGAACUUGCCCCAACAACAUAAUCAGUUUGAUUGUGGGUUGUUGUUAGGGUCAUUUUAGGUUUGUUUUAGAGAUCGUUUUAGGUUGUGUUUUUAGUUAUUUAGGAUUGUUUAGUGCAUAUUUAUGCUUGUUUUCUUCUUGUUUCAGGUUUUAAUGGUCAAUUGCAUAAUAUGGAGUGAAAUGAGAAGAAACAUGUUAAAUAUGAUAAAUAAGAUGGAUUUCGUGUUGAUUGUGGAGUUUCAAGACAUUAUGUGUGGAAAAUACUACAUUGAAGAUGCUCAACACAUGUCGUUUAUGCUCUAUAAUGCAAGUCUGAGACUUCAAGCCACAUUUUGACCAUGAUUUAUUCACUUUCUGGAAAUACUUCUAUAAAUAGAAGUUGUAUAUAUUUCUCUUAUCUUUCCAUAUAUUUUUGAAUCAUUCAAUUCGGAGUUAUAUCGAAUGAGUUAUGAUCAAAAUACGAUGAGCUGAUGCUGCAGGCUGUUCGAAACGAGUUUCGUUCCAUUCUGACUUUAGCGCUACAGCGCCAUAAUAAGAGCGCUACAGCGCUAGUGCACCAGAUUUUGAGGCAUUUUGCCACUGUUAAUAGCACUACAGCGCUCCAGAAGUAGCGCUAGUGACGCGAUUUUCACAUU